rnacentral:rRNA from 1 species
GGGAAAGAUGAAAGAUAUAAAUAAACAGUUAAAAAAAAAAAAAGCAUAGAUUACCCCUACUACCUUUUGUAUAAUGAGUUAACCAGAACCAACUUGGCAAAGUGAACUGAAAUCAACCACCCCGGAAACCAAAGGAGCUACUUACAAACAGCUAAGACACAGAACUUGUCUAUGUGGCAAAAAACUGAGAUUUAGAGGCAGAGGUGAAAAGCCAGCCGAGCGCAGUGACAGCUGGUUGUCCAAAUAAGAACUUCAGUUUGGCUUUAAGUUUUCCCAAAGUACUCCUAACUCAGACGAAAGCUUAAAACAGCUCUUUAAAGCAAGGAAACAACCUUCAACAACAGGUAAACAAACAAAAUCACCAUAGUUGGCCUAAAAGCAGUCAUCAAUUAAGAAAGCAUUCAAGCUCAACAAACCUCACAACCUCCAAUUUUAAUAAAACUGGAUAAACCCUUCAUUAACAAUUGGAGUACUCUAUAACUACAUAGAGGAGAUAAUGUUAAUACCAGUAACAAGAAUUAUUUUUCCCUGCACAAGCUUAAGUCAAACCCACACUUGAUCCUUAACUUACAAGUUUCCCCACUAAUAUUCCUCUUUUUUUAUUCAUGCUUGCAAGGCAGGCGCUUCUGCCACUGAGCUAAAUCCCUCACCCACCCAUUAACAUUCUUAUUAAAAAUAUUGUUAACCCAACACAGGAGUGCUAUUCAGGAAAGACUAAAAAAAGCAAAAGGAAUUCGGCAGACAUAAAUCCAGCCUGUUUACCAAAAAACGUCACCUUUAGCAUAUCAAGUAUUAGAGGCACUGCCUGCCCAGUGACAAACCAAUUUAAUGCCCAUGGUACCCUAACCAUGCAAAGGUAGUAUAAUCACUUGUUCUUUAAAUAAGGACUUGUAUAAAUGGACAAACGAGGAUUGCACUGUCUCUUGCUUUAUGUCAGUGAAACUGACCGACCCAUGAAGAGGGGGAAAUGUACUAAUAAGACUAGAAGACCCUACAUAGCUUUAAUUGAUAAUUUACUCUUUCUCAUCUUAGGACCACUAAGACAUAAAACACAAGACCUAGAUUAAUAAUUUUGGUUGGGGUGACCUCAGAAAAUAACAUACCCUCUAAAUGACAUUAAACUAGAUACUCCAAGUCAAAAUUCACUACCACUAAUUGACCCAAAAACCUUUGGUCCACGGACCAAGUUACCCUAGGGAUAACAGCGCAAUCCUAUUUUAGGGUCCAUAUUGACACCUCAGUGUUGGGUCCAGACAUCCUAAUGGUGCAGCUGCUAUUAAGGGUUCCUUUGUUGAACAAUUAAUAAUCCUAUGUGAUCUGCGUUCAGAUCAACGCAAUCCAGGUUGGUUUCUAUCUAUAUGAUUUCUCCCAG